UGUUUUGUGUCAGAGAACAUUGAGAAGAGUGGUUCAGGCUUGCUCUUAGAAUGUGGGGUGGAAUGGGAGUGAAUGGUGGGAAUGGGGGUGCGGCUGAGGAGCGACCCAGGGAGGAAGUGGGUGCCUGCAGUGUGCUGGUUCAGGCUGGGAGGGAAAUAGCAGUGGACCUUCUCUGAUAGGGGCUCUUGGAGCUGCUAUCCUAAACAUGGGAGUAAACCAAGCAAAUAGCAAUGGGGACCAGGGAUGUAACUCAGUAGAGCACCUGCCUAGUAUAUAGAAGGUUCUAGAUUCAAGUCCCAGCACUAAAUACAUCCCAGUGUAGUGGCACACCCCUGUAAUCUCUGCCACAGUUGGAGACAGUAAAAUCAGAAGUUCAAGGUUGCCAUCAGCUUCAUGGUGAGUUCCAGGCCAGCACAGGCCAUGGGAGACCCUCUCUUCAACAAAUCCAAUCCAAUCCAAUCCAAUCCAAUCCAAUCCAAUCCAAUCCAAUCCAGUCAAAUCAAAUCAAAUCAAAUCAAAUCAAAUCAAAUCAAAUCAAAUCAAAUCAAACAAAAUACCAACUGAAAAGUCCCCAUUCUUAAGAGUCCUAUGUUGGGCCCCACUAAAAGGGAAGGACACCUGGAUAACUUCAUGAGAGAUAAAGGCUGUGAAACUGAGCCUGUGGGAUGAAUUUUGGGGGUGUUAAUCUUAGAAACCAGGAUGUCAGAGGGAGGUUGCUUUCAGUCAAAUGCUUCCUCCUGGUUUGAGAGACGAAGCAAAAGAAGCCUGGGGUGCGUUUGCCAACCCCUGCCCCUGUGUCAUGGAAGCAGGGCCACCUUGCUGGCAGGUCCAUCCUAUGGAAGGGAGACACUGAGGACCGAUUUACUAUCAGGGAAGCCCAUGCAGAGAAGGAAGUGAGGAAAUGGCUGUCAGGCAGAGACCGGAUGUCACACCAGCUUAUACCAGUUCAAGCAGCAAACUGAGAACACAAUGCAGGCUCCUUUGAUCUUCUUGAGACAAGACAGCUCACCUUGUGUUCAUCUCUUGUCUGCCCUGUGGGGGACUGUGGGGGCCAAUUCCAGAAGGUCAGGAGGCCCAUGACCUUGCAUUGUAAAAAUCGAAAGGUCUGGCUUUUUAUUGGACCUAUUUUGUUCUCCUGCGGACACCCUGCGGAGGGGAGGACGGACUGCUAGCCUCAGAGAAAAUUCCCUCACUCUCCCCUCACAUCCUCAGCUCUAAGCAUGGCUAAGAUCACGUAUGCUGCUGCAGAUGCUGAUUCCGGCUCUCCAUGACCAGUGACUUCUCACGCCGCCGUUGCUGUGAGCUUCUCCUGGAGCUGAAGCUGUGAUUUUUCUCUUAGGACUUAGCAUACCACAGAUCCCAGGACCUAGAGGUUUGGGAUGUGGCUCAAAUAAUUAUGCGUUUUUUUUUGGAAAGAGGGACUGGGUGUGGGGGUACGGGGGGCAUGGGAGCCAUCCCAAGUGAUCUUCUCUGCCCUGCCUGGACUGGAAUGGUGUCCCUCCUCCAUCUUUCCCCUCCCUCUGAGAAUCACCAGCAAGGACAGGGAACCAGCCUGCAGAAACCUCAGGGUUAAGUGAGAUGGACUUAAGGAGGGAUGGUCCACUACAGAGGUACGGCUCCGUGGCUAUUAAUAAUCAGAGUCUUUUGGGAAAUCUCACAAACCCUCAGAGGGCUGAGGGAGAGUUUGCCAAGUCCUUCUGACUUCUCUUCCCUGACCACCCCCCACUCUGCGAGUCAAUGGCUUUGAACUGGAACUUCAAAGAGAAACCGGACUCUUUUCUUCAAACAGGUUUAUAAAGAGAUUUUGAUACAAGACAACAAUACUUGUCAGCGGUGCCCGGUUAUCGCCCUUCCCUUUGUAGUUUUAUUAGGAAAUAAUUUCCCUGCCGCUGCGGCUCCUGCUGGCUCGCCUUGUUUCUCCAUUUGUGAUCCGAUCUGCCCACCAGAGGGGCUAUCCCUCACUCCACUGAAGCUUUGCCAGCUGGGGGCUUCCAGAAAGACAUCACAGGAAGGGCCUCACCGAGCCAAUCCGUCAUUUGCCCCUCCCCUGCCCUAACCAUCUCUGUG
rnacentral:lncRNA from 1 species